ACGUUAAUUUUGACUCUGUUCUCACUUCAGUGAUUGUGUUUUGUGUCUGUUACUGAGUGACUGUCUUCAGGGAAAUGAUGUGGAGUGUGUUUGCAUAUUGAUCAGAUCUUCAGUGUGUGAGAGUGUUUAUAGUGCUGUGAGUUUAACACUUCAUCACUGACACACACAACAAUCUUCAUCAACAUGACCUUCAUCAUCAUCUUCAUCUGGACACUUUUAUACUGCUUUAUACAAGGAUGUAGAGCUCAGAUCACAGUGACUCAGACUCCUGUAAAUCCUGCCAAACCAGGAGAAACUGUAGAGAUGAGCUGUAAACUCAGUAGAGAUGCGCCAGCCUGCAGCUCAGCACCCUGUGUGUCCUGGUACUUACAGAAACCUGGAGAAGCUCCUAAACUCCUGAUUUAUUAUACUAACACCCGUCAGUCAGGAACUCCAUCUAGAUUCAGUGGCAGUGGAUCUAACAGUGAUUUCACUCUGAGCAUCAGUGGAGUCCAGACUGAAGAUGCUGGACAUUAUUACUGUCAGAGUUAUCACAGUGGUGAUGUGUUCACACAGUGAUAAAGAGUCGUACAAAAACCUCCGUCAGUCAGAGUCACAGUGACUGAACUGAAACUGCAGCUGCUCAAACACUUUCUCACACACACACACACACACACACACACACACACACACACACACACACACACACACACACACACACACACACACACACACACA